ensembl:lncRNA
GUGGCCUGGACGCCGCUGCUCUGGGCGCGGGGAAUGGUAAAGCUGGCGGUUUCGUCCCUAGAAAGGAACCCGGAGCUGGGGAGGGCUCCGACUUCAGCGCGAGCCCUGUGACCCGGGGUGGCUGGGCUCCUCGGGCCGCAGUUUCCCUGUGGUGGAGAUCCCAGUAUCCCCGUCGGAAGGCUGCGCGCAGCAGCGGAGGCAGUGGGUGCACGCCCUGUGCACACCGUGCCUGGGCUAUCACUGUGGCGUCGGUGUGCACACGACACAGGCGCAGGUACUGCCUAAAAGUUGUUCAGGCCACUUCUGGAGGCGCGACCAGGACCGGCCCGGAGGUAACCUACCCUCCUGGCGGCCUCUGCAGCCAGAAACCUGGUGCCACCCUCGGCGACUCCCCUGAACUGAGGCCCGGCUUCCUGGGCUUCUGGGGCUGCGGGGGCGCGGGCUGAAACCCGCCGCUGGUGAGCUACACCCCACACAGAUACACGCACAACGCGGGCGCUGGCGGGGUAGGGGCCGUUCAGUGCCUGAGUCCAGUGUUUGGAACAUCCCGGCGUGGCGCACGGAGGCUGCCCUGGUGAGGGAGCCUGUGGGGCCAUCAGGAGCGAGGACGCUGUUGCUCCUGUAACGUCCGUGUCCCCGUCCCACCCUCUGUACCCUCAGGAGCCAAACCUUUCUAACAAAACCCAGCCCGGGAAGACUUCAGAUGACUUAGCUUCUCAAGAUCCUUCUACUUUUGAGUUUUACCGAAGGAUAAUUGAUGUACAAUCAACCAUACAUAUUUAAACAGUGCACUUUAUUUCUUGACAUAUACUCAUGAAAACAAUACCAUAAUUAAUCUAUUACUAUCAUUUAUGGAGAAAAUUAAAUACACAAAGAAAGUAAAAAGUGCUAGACUCCUAUCAGCUAAAGGUAACCAUUAGUGAGGUUAUUGUUCCAAACAGGAUUUUUUUGGCCACUCAUUAACUUUUUCUUUACAUGAAUGAGAUUGUACUAAAUACAGUACAAAGUUUUUUCUGGGCGUGGUGACCCACACCUGUAAUACCAGCGCCAGGGAGGCCAAGACAGGAGAUAGCUAGAAGCAGGGAGCAGCCUGAGCUACAUCUGUAGUGAGCUCCAGACGAGCCUACACUAUAUAGCAAGGCCCUGUCUCAAAAAGGCCAAAUAAAUAAACAAAUAAACAAAAUGCAAAGUUUUUGCAUCCAGCACAUUUCUGAUUCUAGUCAUUAUUUUCACAGGGUGCCGUGGCACACAUCUGUAAUCCUAUCACUCAGGAGGCAGAUGCAGGAGGAUCACAAGUUUGAGACCAGACUUCGUCUGCAUAGCAAGUCGAAUGCCUGCCUGCCUGGACCACAUAUUUCCAGAGCCAGGAUUUAAGAGAUUAGCAGUUUCCAGUGCUGGCACCUGAGAUGCUCACUCUUGGAACUCUCCAUCAUGCUCUCCGGAAGCCCAAACGGCCCUUGAAGAGGACCACAUGGAGAGGCCUGUGUCCUCCAUCCCAGCUGAAUGCUCGGCUUCAGUCAUCCCCAGAGUACAGCACUGUCUGCAGCCCCUGCGAAGGAGAAGCUGUCUGGUGCCAUUAGCGUCCCUGAAGAGCAGUGUUUUGCAUGUCUGCUCUACAUCACCGCCGUUCCUCCAAGACCCGACCCAGUGACUGAGGAUGCUGGCCUCACCGUGCCUUCCACCAUGGCCAUGCUGUGUGUGGACAAUCUGGGCUCCUCUUUCUCGGUCUCCCCCGGGGUCACUCGUGUGACUGUGGUACCCAGCUCUGGAGGGUCCGAGGUGGUGUCCUCACGUGUUCCACAGUCAGUGCUGGCUCUCUCUCUCUUCUGUGUCUUUCUUACAAAAGAAAAAGGAAUCAUAUGGUUUAUGGAAGAAAAUUUAGAAAUGCUGUCAAAACAAGGGAAAGAAAAUAGCACUCACCUAUAAUGCCAGCACCUCAGAAUAACCAUUGUUGGUAUUUAGACAUAUAUAUCUAUCCAGCCUUACUCUAAAAUAUUGGUAACAAUGUGUAGUCUACAAAAAUGCAUAUUAUUGAUUACUUCUUUUUUUUUUUUUUUUUUUUUUUGCAGAACCAGGGAUCAAACUCAGGACCUUGUGCUUGCCAGGCAGGCAUGGCACCACUGAGCUACAUCCCUGGCCCUACUUUUUUGUUUUGUGACACAGGGUCUUGCUAUGUAGUUCAGGCUAGCCUUGAACUUGCAGUACUAUGUAGUCUAGGGUGGCCUCGAACUCAUGGUGAUCCCUGCCUCAGCCUCCCAAGAGCUGGGAUUACAGGUGUGUGCCACUAUGCCAGGCAUUGAUUAUUUUCUUGAUAGGCACUGUGCUGUAUCCUCUGCAUAGAUUAUUUCAUUUAAUACUCACUGCACUCCUACAGAACAGAUACUAUUACUAUUACUAUUACUAUUACUAUUACUGUCUUUAGGGAAGGAAAAAUUGAUGCUUAGCGACCUUAUACAUACAUAUAUACUGUCUUGUAACUCCUUUUUUCAUAUAACAUCAUGCAUAAUUCCUCACUUGAUUGCUUUUG